CGAGUUACGAUGUGUAGCCAGGUUAAGCCGUUGCAGGUGUAGCCGUAGGGAAACCGAGUCUUAAUAGGGCGGUUUAGUUGCAUGUCGUAGACCCGAAACGGGAUGAGCUAUCCAUGAGCAGGUUGAAGCGGGGGUAAAACCUCGUGGAGGACCGAACCCAUAUAGGUUGAAAACUGUUGGGAUGACUUGUGGAUAGGGGUGAAAGGCCAAUCAAAUUCCGUGAUAGCUGGUUCUCUCCGAAAUGCAUUUAGGUGCAGCCUUUAGUGGACACCAUCGGGGGUAUAGCACUGAAUUGGCUAGGGGGCUUACCAGCUUACCAAACCAUAUCAAACUCAGAAUACCGAUGAGUGAUGCUAGGGAGUGAGACUAUGGGUGCUAAGGUCCAUAGUCGAAAGGGAAAGAGCCCAGACCAUCAGCUAAGGUCCCUAAAUAAUCGCUAAGUGGGAAAGGUUGUGGGAUUACUUUGACAUCCAGGAGGUUGGCUUAGAAGCAGCCACCCUUUAAAGAAAGCGUAAUAGCUCACUGGACUAGUGAUCCUGCGCCUAAAAUUCAACGGGGCUUAAGUGAUUUACCGAAGCUAUGGAUUGAGAUUUAUCUCAAUGGUAGGAGAGCAUUGUGUAUGCCGAUGAAGAUGUACCGUAAGGAGCAUUGGAGGUAUCACAAGAGCUGAUGCUGAAAUGAGUAACGAUAAGGAACGUGAGAAUCGUUCCCGCCGAAAAUCUAAGGGUUCCUGGGCCAGGUGACUCCGCCCAGGGUUAGUCGGAUCCUAACGCGAGGCCGAAAGGCGUAGUGGAUGGAUAACAGGUUAAUAUUCCUGUACUUAGUAAUUAUCGUUCGACUUGGUGGAGUGACGGAGAAAGGUAGUGAAGCCACACACUGGUUAGUGGUUUAAGCGAGUAGGUGGGAGACUCAGGCAAAUCCGGGUUUCUAUUAACGCCGAGACGUGAUGACGAGGGCCUAGCCCGAAGUUCAUGAUCCUAUGCUUCCUAGAAAAGCUUCGUAAGGAGAUGAUUAUUAAUCCGUACCGUAAACCGACACAGGUAGAUGGGAUGAGAAUUCUAAGGCGCUUGGGUAAACUCCAGUUAAGGAACUCUGCAAAUUGGUGCUGUAACUUUGGGAUAAGGCACGCCUUUUUUGGUGAUAGAACUUGCUUCUUGAGCUGAAGAGGGCCGCAGUGAAAAGGGGGUAGCGACUGUUUAUCAAAAACAUAGGUCUAUGCAAACUCGUAAGAGGACGUAUAUGGACUGACGCCUGCCCGGUGCUCGAAGGUUAAGAGGAGAGGUUAGAGCAAUCGAAGCUUUGAAUCGAAGCCCGAGUAAACGGCGGCCGUAACUAUAACGGUCCUAAGGUAGCGAAAUUCCUAGUCGGGUAAGUUCCGACCUGCACGAAUGGCGUAACGACUUCCCCACUGUCUCAACUGGAGACCCAGUGAAAUUGGAGUGCGCGUGAAGAUACGCGCUACCCGCGGAAGGACGAAAAGACCCCGUGAACCUUCACUGUAGCUUGGCAUUGGUUUUCGAAACACAUUGCGUAGGAUAGGUGGGAGCUUUUGAUCCGUGCAUUCCGGUGUACGAGGAGGCAACCUUGAAAUACCACCCUUUGUGUUUUGGAAUCCUAACCUACGAUCGUUAUCCGGUCGGGGGACAAUGUCUGGUAGGCAGUUUGACUGGGGCGGUCGCCUCCUAAAGAGUAACGGAGGCGCACAAAGGUUCCCUCAAGCCGAAUGGAAACCGGCUGUAGAGUGUAAACGCAUAAGGGAGCUUGACUGCGAGGCAAACAAGCCGAGCAGGUAGGAAACUAGGUGUUAGUGAUCCGGUGGUUCCGAGUGGAAGGGCCAUCGCUCAACGGAUAA
rnacentral:rRNA from 1 species